UAACCGUCAUAAACAACUUUUUCUAUGGA
rnacentral:sRNA from 1 species